GCCAGUGGAGGUGUGAUUGUUCUGCCUUAAGCACCAUUUUUCCCUGUGGCAUGAAGAUGAACACAGUGAACAGUGGAAGCUGCAGAUUGUUGUUGCUGACAUUCUGUUUAUCAACAAUAGAAAUAAGCUUAUGGCUCCUCUCAAGUUCCAAAUGCUCUCUGCACCCAGAAGUUCAUUGUCCAACAGUUUUCCUACAAGGACAUUGCAGAAGAAUCAAUAAGGCACGUGUCAGAUAAAUGCCUGCUCAAGAUCUGAAGUAGAAUCAGACUAACAAAAUGAAAACAGUGAUUAAGUUCUGUGAUCCAGUGCAGUGAAAUUCUAAAAAUUGAGAGGAGGAAUUAUCAAGGAGUCCCAACCAUUUCUCCAUUCAGGGAUUGCAUGAAAAUAUGAUACCCACUCUUAAUUUACUGUAAACUCCUUGGUGAUUCAGAGAGGAAAUAGGCUGCCCAGUCACAGGGUGGCUCUGGAGAAGGAGCCUCUCAAAGAACCAUCAAAGUGGAAGCAGCCAAGCAACCACAUUUUGAAGUGACAG